rnacentral:piRNA from 1 species
UUGAUGUUGCUGAGCUUGGAGCUUGCCGG